CGUGUAGGCGGGUCUUUAAGUCAGAGGUGAAAUGCCAAGGCUCAACCUUGGAACUGCCUUUGAUACUGGAGAUCUUGAGUCCGGGAGAGGUGAGUGGAACUGCGAGUGUAGAGGUGAAAUUCGUAGAUAUUCGCAAGAACACCAGUGGCGAAGGCGGCUCACUGGCCCGGUACUGACGCUGAGAUGCGAAAGCGUGGGGAGCAAACAGGAUUAGAUACCCUGGUAGUCCACGCUGUAAACGAUGGAUGCUAGCCGUUAGGCAGCUCGCUGCUUAGUGGCGCAGUUAACACUUUAAGCAUCCCGCCUGGGGAGUACGGUCGCAAGAUUAAA
rnacentral:rRNA from 1 species